UGGAUCCAGACUUUGAUCCUGGCUCAGGACGAACGCUGGCGGCGCGCCUAACACAUGCAAGUCGAACGGAGAUUACAGGCGGAAGUUUUCGGAUGGAAGCUUGUAAACUUAGUGGCGGACGGGUGAGUAACACGUGAGCAACCUGCCUAUCAGAGGGGGAUAACGAUUGGAAACGAUCGCUAAUACCGCAUGACAUAGCGGAACCGCAUGGUUCUGUUAUCAAAGAUUUUAUCGCUGAUAGAUGGGCUCGCGUCCGAUUAGAUAGUUGGUGGGGUAACGGCCUACCAAGUCGACGAUCGGUAGCCGGACUGAGAGGUCGAACGGCCACAUUGGGACUGAGACACGGCCCAGACUCCUACGGGAGGCAGCAGUGGGGGAUAUUGCACAAUGGGGGAAACCCUGAUGCAGCGACGCCGCGUGAGGGAAGACGGUCCUCUGGAUUGUAAACCUCUGUCUUCGGGGACGAAACGAGACGGUACCCGAGGAGGAAGCCACGGCUAACUACGUGCCAGCAGCCGCGGUAAUACGUAGGUGGCAAGCGUUGUCCGGAAUUACUGGGUGUAAAGGGAGCGUAGGCGGGCGGGCAAGUCAGGCGUGAAAUAUAUCGGCUCAACCGGUAACGGCGCUUGAAACUGCAGGUCUUGAGUGAAGUAGAGGUUGGCGGAAUUCCUAGUGUAGCGGUGAAAUGCGUAGAUAUUAGGAGGAACACCAGUGGCGAAGGCGGCCAACUGGGCUUUUACUGACGCUGAGGCUCGAAAGUGUGGGGAGCAAACAGGAUUAGAUACCCUGGUAGUCCACACCGUAAACGAUGAUUACUAGGUGUGGGGGGACUGACCCCUUCCGUGCCGGAGUUAACACAAUAAGUAAUCCACCUGGGGAGUACGGCCGCAAGGUUGCAACUCAAAUGAAUUGACGGA
rnacentral:rRNA from 1 species